rnacentral:rRNA from 1 species
GCUUAACACAUGCAAGUCGAGGGGCAGCACGAGGUAGCAAUACUUUGGUGGCGACCGGCGCACGGGUGCGUAACGCGUAUGCAACCUACCUUUAACAGGGGCAUAACACUGAGAAAUUGGUACUAAUUCCCCAUAACAUUCGAGAAGGCAUCUUCUUGGGUUAAAAACUCCGGUGGUUAAAGAUGGGCAUGCGUUGUAUUAGCUAGUUGGUGAGGUAACGGCUCACCAAGGCAACGAUACAUAGGGGGACUGAGAGGUUAACCCCCCACAUUGGUACUGAGACACGGACCAGACUCCCACGGGAGGCAGCAGUGAGGAAUAUUGGUCAAUGGACGCAAGUCUGAACCAGCCAUGCCGCGUGCAGGAAGACGGCUCUAUGAGUUGUAAACUGCUUUUGUACGAGGGUAAACUCACCUACGUGUAGGUGACUGAAAGUAUCGUACGAAUAAGGAUCGGCUAACUCCGUGCCAGCAGCCGCGGUAAUACGGAGGAUUCAAGCGUUAUCCGGAUUUAUUGGGUUUAAAGGGUGCGUAGGCGGUUUGAUAAGUUAGAGGUGAAAUCCCGGGGCUUAACUCCGGAACUGCCUCUAAUACUGUUAGACUAGAGAGUAGUUGCGGUAGGCGGAAUGUAUGGUGUAGCGGUGAAAUGCUUAGAGAUCAUACAGAACACCGAUUGCGAAGGCAGCUUACCAAACUAUAUCUGACGUUGAGGCACGAAAGCGUGGGGAGCAAACAGG